GGGUCAGUAGGUUGGUCGUGCCACCGGUACGUACUGGUCUCACUGAUUCCUCCUUCCUGAAGAACCGUAAUGCCAUUAAUUGGGUGUUGCGGGGAAACAGGACUGUUACUUUGAAAAAAUUAGAGUGUUUAAAGCAAGCUAGCGCUUGAAUACAUUAGCAUGGAAUAAUGAAAUAGGACGAUCGAUCCUAUUUUGUUGGUUUCUAGGAUUGACGUA
rnacentral:rRNA from 1 species